GGGCAGCAUGGUCUUAGCUUGCUAAGGCUGAUGGCGACCGGCGCACGGGUGAGUAACACGUAUCCAACCUGCCGUCUACUCUUGGCCAGCCUUCUGAAAGGAAGAUUAAUCCAGGAUGGGAUCAUGAGUUCACAUGUCCGCAUGAUUAAAGGUAUUUUCCGGUAGACGAUGGGGAUGCGUUCCAUUAGAUAGUAGGCGGGGUAACGGCCCACCUAGUCAACGAUGGAUAGGGGUUCUGAGAGGAAGGUCCCCCACAUUGGAACUGAGACACGGUCCAAACUCCUACGGGAGGCAGCAGUGAGGAAUAUUGGUCAAUGGGCGAUGGCCUGAACCAGCCAAGUAGCGUGAAGGAUGACUGCCCUAUGGGUUGUAAACUUCUUUUAUAAAGGAAUAAAGUCGGGUAUGCAUACCCGUUUGCAUGUACUUUAUGAAUAAGGAUCGGCUAACUCCGUGCCAGCAGCCGCGGUAAUACGGAGGAUCCGAGCGUUAUCCGGAUUUAUUGGGUUUAAAGGGAGCGUAGAUGGAUGUUUAAGUCAGUUGUGAAAGUUUGCGGCUCAACCGUAAAAUUGCAGUUGAUACUGGAUGUCUUGAGUGCAGUUGAGGCAGGCGGAAUUCGUGGUGUAGCGGUGAAAUGCUUAGAUAUCACGAAGAACUCCGAUUGCGAAGGCAGCCUGCUAAGCUGCAACU
rnacentral:rRNA from 1 species